rnacentral:rRNA from 1 species
UGGGGAAUAUUGCGCAAUGGGCGAAAGCCUGACGCAGCGACGCCGCGUGAGGGAUGAAGGUUUUCGGAUCGUAAAUCCCUGUCAGAAGGGAAGAAACCGCACUGUGCUAAUCAGCAGUGCCUUGACGGUACCUUCAAAGGAAGCACCGGCUAACUCCGUGCCAGCAGCCGCGGUAAUACGGAGGGUGCAAGCGUUAAUCGUAAUUACUGGGCGUAAAGCGAACGUAGGCUGCUUUGUAAGUCAGGGGUGAAAUCCCACGGCUCAACCGUGGAACUGCGUUUGAUACUGCUUAGCUUGAAUCCGGGAGAGAGUGGCGGGAUUCCAGGUGUAGGAGUGAAAUCCGUAGAUAUCUGGGGGAACAUCAGUGGCGAAGGCGGCCACCUGGACCGGUAUUGACGCUGAGGUGCGAAAGCGUGGGGAGCAAACAGG